rnacentral:misc_RNA from 1 species
UUCCUUUUGAAUAGUCUUGAUUUGUACUCUAACUAGUUUCCUUGGCACAAAAUGAUUAUUAUGCUCUAUGCUUAGUAAUUUUCAGAUCCAAUUGAUGAAUUGAGAACAUCUUAGGAUUCUUGGCCAGUUGACCUGUCCCUCCUUAGUUCUGUAUGACAAAGCUGAUGUUUUGGGCACUUGUAAUUGCCAUCUUGAUUUUCCACUAUUUCACUCUCUUUCGG